rnacentral:tRNA from 2 species
GUCCCUGUGGCUUAACGGAUAGAGCACGACCUUGCGGAGGUUGGGGUGCCAGUUCAAUUCUGGCCAGGGACA